ACCCUGAGCCCCGAGGCGGCGGCGGCGGCGGUCGCCAUGCGGAAGUCGUGCCGGGUUCAACGCUGCUGCAGCGCCGCCGGGCAGCCCCGGGGCUCCGAGCGCCGCUUCAGCUUCUCCGAAAGCCCCACGUCCACCCCUGGAGUCAUGCAGAAGGAUCUGGAUAAGUCCUUGAGGGAUUUGGGGGAGGCCAGGGAGCCCUGGACUUAUCCAGAAGAGUCUGGAGAUGUCCCAGAGGAGUCUUGGGGCAUUCAGGGAGUCCUCAUGUGGGUGUGGAGGGUUCUGGAUUCCUCAGACGGGUCUGGAGAUGUCCCAGAGGUGUCUUGGGGAGACCAGGGGGUCCUGGAGUCCUCCAGGAGUCUCAAAAACUGACAGUUCCCACCAAAAAAAGCCCCCCUACGACCACCAGGUGAUGUGGGGACAACUGCAGGUGACACCGGGACACCGCUGUGUCACCAUCACUCGGGUGAAACUGCUCCCUGUGCUCUGACCACCACAUGGGCACAGGCACAGCCAGCCCCACAUUGUCACCAUGUUAUCGUUAAGCUGCCGACUGUCUUUUGUCACCCCCCAGGCCUGCCUCCAGCCGGACCUGGUAACACUGGAGCUCUCUGGCGCUGUCACCAUUAUGUGCCACAAGGAUGGGGACGUGGUGGUGUACUCUGCUGCCACCAGAGGGGACCGUGUGUGACAUCAGCGUGGAACAGCUGUCAUCGCUGUUGGGUGUUGCUUUUGUCAACAUGCAUGGGGUGUCACUGCUGGGGACACCUCUGUGUCACCCCUACCGUGUCACACCCCAAAGUUGGAGGCACCCCUCUGCAGAUCCCCUGGUGUCCGUCCUUCUGACCGCAUUGUUCCCAUGGGGGGGUGGGUGGAGUUGAGGGGGGCACACACUUUAUUUUUGUAAAUAAGAUUUAUUUUGUGAUAACGGUGGACUGGGAGACGCUGCCCCCCCCCCAGACCUCUGCAUGAAUAAAAGGCAGAGGAGCGGCUGUGGGGCUCUGCAUGUCACACCGGGGGGCACUCUGGGGACAGGUGACUGCAGCAUCCCAGCCCCAUAGCCCCUAUGACCCCAUCA